CCCGGGCGCGACGGGUGGAGGUAACGCGUAUGCAACUUACCUAUCAGGAGGGGAUAACCCGGCGAAGUCGGACUAAUACCGCAUGAAGCAGGGGCCCCGCAUGGGGAUAUUUGCUAAAGAUUCAUCGCUGAUAGAUAGGCAUGCGUUCCAUUAGGCAGUUGGCGGGGUAACGGCCCACCAAACCGACGAUGGAUAGGGGUUCUGAGAGGAAGGUCCCCCACAUUGGUACUGAGACACGGACCAA
rnacentral:rRNA from 1 species